GGCUGGUCUGAGUGCAGUGGUGUUUACAACUAAUUGAUCACAAUAUGUUACAGAUUUCUUUGUCCCUUCUCCAUUCCCACUGCUUCACUUGAUUAGCCUAAA
ensembl:Y_RNA Y_RNA Y RNA